AUACUUACCUGGCAGGGGAGAUACCAUGAUCACGAAGGUGGUUUUCCCAGAGUGAGGCUUAUCCAUUGCCCUCCGGAUGUGCUGACCCCUGCGAUUUCCCCAAAUGUGGGAAACUCGACUGCAUAAUUUGUGGUUC
rnacentral:snRNA from 1 species